UACGUAGGUGGCAAGCGUUGUCCGGAUUUACUGGGCGUAAAGGGAGCGUAGGUGGAUAUUUAAGUGGGAUGUGAAAUACUCGGGCUUAACCUGAGUGCUGCAUUCCAAACUGGAUAUCUAGAGUGCAGGAGAGGAAAGUAGAAUUCCUAGUGUAGCGGUGAAAUGCGUAGAGAUUAGGAAGAAUACCAGUGGCGAAGGCGACUUUCUGGACUGUAACUGACACUGAGGCUCGAAAGCGUGGGGAGCAACAGGG
rnacentral:rRNA from 1 species